rnacentral:rRNA from 1 species
UACGGAGGGUGCGAGCGUUGUCCGGAAUCACUGGGCGUAAAGGGCGCGUAGGCGGCCUGAUAAGUAGGGGGUGAAAUCCUGCGGCUUAACCGCAGGGCUGCCUUCUAAACUGUCAGGCUAGAGCACAGUAGAGGCAGGUGGAAUUCCCGGUGUAGCGGUGGAAUGCGUAGAGAUCGGGAGGAAGGCCGGUGGCGAAGGCGGCGCUCUGGAACGUUUCUGACACUGAGGCUCGAAAGCGUGGGGAGCAAACAGG